rnacentral:lncRNA from 1 species
UAGGACUCCCUUUUCAAGAGAACAAAUUUAGAAAUUGGCUCCUUUGAUCAUUAGGUAUGAGUAGGAAUAUUUGUUUAAUGCUCUGCCACCUACAAAUAAGAAAAUAGUGAAAUCACUAAACUUCAGUCAAUCUCAUCUGACCUUGCCAACCUCAAGAACUGUCUCCAUAACAAUCAAAAGUGGUAAUACAUACCUACAAUGGCUUGUUUCCGGAGGAAUCCAUCUGCCAUAUUUCCACUGGCCCUUAAAAAUAUGCUAUCUAAGCAUUAUUCAUUUAGCUUAUGGAUUCGACUCUUCAAAUGUCGACUUUUUAGGAAUAUAAAAACCAAGAAAUAAUCAAUUUCUGUUUUUUUUUUUCAUAAAUAUAACUCAAAUAUUUCCCUCACAGGGAAAUGAGGAGAAAGGAUGAAUAUGCUGGCACCAACGGAGGGCUGGAUCAUCUGUACUGUGAGAGGCAUCUUCUGGGCAUGUGUGGCACUUCACUAUGGACAACUAAGCUCCCUCGGAUACCCACCUCUUGCGCAUCAUACAGGCCAAGAUUCAGUGUCUACCAUGUUGAACAACACCACUCUAGGCAGAGAAAGCAAGAUGAACAAAAAAGCACUGAAGAUCAAGAGAGUAUGAGAACUUGCUUUGGAGGUGGCCAUUUCUCUAGUCUGGCAGGAGUAAAGCUGGAUGAUAAAAUAAAGGUUCCUGAGUGUCAUGUAAGUUCUUGGAGAGUUCCUUCAUUUUGACAUUUUGGCUACUAUUUUUCCUGGAGAAGCACACAAAAGGAAAGAGAAUGUUUCAUUGAUCUCUCUGGCCAGCAUCUUCCGGUUGGUACAGUAUGUAAUGGAAUCAGUGGACUCUGUCAUCAUUGGACGCCACCACAUAUCCUUUGCUAUACUGUGCUUUUUAUGCAAUAUUACCUAGGAUCUUGUGUCAUUGGAUCAAAUGCUUGGUAAAUCCUUUCAUAGUUAUUGUGGUAAGACCCUAUGAGCAAAAGAUGCAAACCCUUGAAUAUGUGUGUAUAAAUUCUAGUUAAGAUGAAUCACUUCCCUUUACAGGUUGAAGGUGUCCCGUGGAAUCGAACUCCCACCAAAGUGCUGAUUAGCUUCCUUAAAAGGUGUUGUCAUAUACAGAGUUGACUUUAAGUCUCUUUCAUUUGAAAGUUGAACAUUCCGUAGCAUCAGUAGCUUGAAUAAACUUG